CAGUAGCCGCGGUAACACAGAGGGUGCGAGCGUUAAUCGGAUUUACUGGGCGUAAAGCGUGCGUAGGCGGCUUUUUAAGUCGGAUGUGAAAUCCCUGAGCUUAACUUAGGUAUUGCAUUCGAUACUGGGAAGCUAGAGUAUGGGAGAGGAUGGUAGAAUUCCAGGUGUAGCGGUGAAAUGCGUAGAGAUCUGGAGGAAUACCGAUGGCGAAGGCAGCCAUCUGGCCUAAUACUGACGCUGAGGUACGAAAGCAUGGGGAGCAAACAGGAUUAGAUACCCCUGUAGUCCCUGUCUCUUAUAC
rnacentral:rRNA from 1 species